GAACGCGAAGAACCUUACCAGGUCUUGACAUCCCUCUGACCGCUCUAGAGAUAGAGUUUUCCUUCGGGACAGAGGUGACAGGUGGUGCAUGGUUGUCGUCAGCUCGUGUCGUGAGAUGUUGGGUUAAGUCCCGCAACGAGCGCAACCCCUAUUGUUAGUUGCCAUCAUUUAGUUGGGCACUCUAGCGAGACUGCCGGUAAUAAACCGGAGGAAGGUGGGGAUGACGUCAAAUCAUCAUGCCCCUUAUGACCUGGGCUACACACGUGCUACAAUGGCUGGUACAACGAGUCGCAAGCCGGUGACGGCAAGCUAAUCUCUUAAAGCCAGUCUCAGUUCGGAUUGUAGGCUGCAACUCGCCUACAUGAAGUCGGAAUCGCUAGUAAUCGCGGAUCAGCACGCCGCGGUGAAUACGUUCCCGGGUCUUGUACACACC
rnacentral:rRNA from 1 species